rnacentral:rRNA from 1 species
CCUACGGGAGGCUGCAGUGAGGAAUAUUGGUCAAUGGACGAGAGUCUGAACCAGCCAAGUAGCGUGAAGGAUGACUGCCCUACGGGUUGUAAACUUCUUUUAUAAAGGAAUAAAACGAGGCACGUGUGCCUUUUUGCAUGUACUUUAUGAAUAAGGAUCGGCUAAUUCCGUGCCAGCAGCCGCGGUAAUACGGAGGAUCCGAGCGUUAUCCGGAUUUAUUGGGUUUAAAGGGAGCGUAGAUGGGUUGUUAAGUCAGUUGUGAAAGUUUGCGGCUCAACCGGAAAAUUGCAAUUGAUACUGGCAGUCUUGAGUACAGUUGAGGUAGGCGGAAUUCGUGGUGUAGCGGUGAAAUGCUUAGAUAUCACGAAGAACCCCGAUUGCGAAGGCAGCUUACUAAACUGUGACUGACAUUGAUGCUCGAAAGUGUGGGUAUCGAACAGGAUUAGAUACCCGAGUAGUC